rnacentral:rRNA from 1 species
CGGGUGGCCCCGUAACGGGGAACGUUGGGACGACAGGUGCUGCAUGGCUGUCGUCAGCUCGUGCCGUGAGGUGUUGGGUUAAGUCCCGCAACGAGCGCAACCCUCACCCUUAGUUGCCAUCAUUAAGUUGGGCACCCUAGGGAACUGCCGCAGUUAAUGCGGAGGAAGGUGGGGAUGACGUCAAGUCCUCAUGGCCCUUAUAUCCAGGGCUACACACGUGCUACAAUGGACGGUACAAAGGGUCGCGAACCUGUAAGGGGGAGCUAACCCCAGAAAACCGUUCUCAGUUCGGAUUGGAGUCUGCAACCCGACCCCAUGAAGUUGGAAUCGCUAGUAAUCGCGGAUCAGAACGCCGCGGUGAAUACGUUCCCGGGCCUU